rnacentral:rRNA from 1 species
CUUGGUCAUUUAGAGGAAGUAAAAGUCGUAACAAGGUUUCCGUAGGUGAACCUGCGGAAGGAUCAUUAUUGAAUAAACCUGAUGUGGUUGUAGCUGGCUCUUUCGGGAGUAUGUGCACGCCCAUCAUCUUUAUAUCUCCACCUGUGCACCUUUUGUAGACACAAAGGAUUGAGAAAUCAAUCGUUUGGGUUUACGUUUUAUCAUAUACCCCAUAGUAUGUAUUAGAAUGAAUCAAUGGGCUUUGUGCCUAUAAACAUUAUACAACUUUCAGCAACGGAUCUCUUGGCUCUCGCAUCGAUGAAGAACGCAGCGAAAUGCGAUAAGUAAUGUGAAUUGCAGAAUUCAGUGAAUCAUCGAAUCUUUGAACGCACCUUGCGCUCCUUGGUAUUCCGAGGAGCAUGCCUGUUUGAGUGUCAUUAAAUUCUCAACCUCUCUAGUUUUUACAAACUAGUAGAUGGCUUGGAUAUGGGGGUUUUUUGCAGGCUUUCACAAGUCAGCUCCCCUAAAAUGUAUUAGCCGGUGCCCUCUAAACCGUCUAUUGGUGUGAUAAUUAUCUACGCCGUGGACUAUUAGACUUGGUUGCAUUGCUUCUAAUCGUCCUCUGGACAAUUUUAUGACAUUUUGACCUCAAAUCAGGUAGGACUACCCGCUGAACUUAAGCAUAUCAAUAAGCGGAGGA